rnacentral:rRNA from 1 species
AUGAUCCUAGAGGAUGAGAGAGGGUUAAACCUCCCUUGUUUCUAUGACAAUGUUGGUACCCAUGUGCUACCGGAAAGAAACCCUUAUCGCAUACACGCUUUUCUUCAAGCACAUCGUGAGAUUGAGGAUGCAACCACUCAUGGUCGGCUCCGGGAUGAUCUAGUAGAGCACCACUAG